GUUUGCUGUGUGAGCUGAUCUUUCUCUUUACCCAGAGCUAUCCUGAUUUCCACUUGGCCUCUGGUCUGAAGUGUCCACCCCUGCCAAUGGCUGCCACAAUAGAGCAGCUCUGUACUCAGUUUCCUGGCAAGCACCAGCCUGAGAUCCGGAGGGCACCUUGCUAGGUGAUCAGGAAGACACUGAACACCAGGAGUGAGGCCACGGGCCUGGCCUUCCAUGGGUCUCGUUAAGGACUCGAGUCGCCUUGGUGGAACCUCUAGUCAGCUCUCAAUGAUGUAUGAAAUGAAACUUUCUCACCCACUACACAAGGAAGAAAAAGUGCUGAGGUGGACUCCGAUGUGGUUACGAAUGUCCGCUGACCAAAGAAUUGAGCACACUUGAAAAUCAGUACAAAGCUGGUCACGUGGGUGAAGAUCAUUUCUCUCUCCUCCCUCUUAACCAUCAUGGGAUCAAAGAGAGACUCCAGCGCAGAUCAUAGCUCUCCCCUCUCCCCACGGUGUGUCUUUUAGGAAGUUGCUUAACAUCCUCAAGCUUGCUUCCUCAUUUAUAAAAUAGAAAUGAAAUAAUAACAAAAUAUGCCUUUCUGA